UACGGGGGGGGCAAGCGUUGUUCGGAAUUACUGGGCGUAAAGGGCUCGUAGGCGGCCAACUAAGUCUGACGUGAAAUCCCCCGGCUUAACUGGGGAACUGCGUCCGAUACUGGUUGGCUUGAGUCUGGGAGAGGGACGUGGAAUUCCAGGUGUAGCGGUGAAAUGCGUAGAUAUCUGGAGGAACACCGGUGGCGAAGGCGGCGUCCUGGACCAGCACUGACGCUGAGGAGCGAAAGCCAGGGGAGCAAAC
rnacentral:rRNA from 1 species